rnacentral:lncRNA from 1 species
UUUAGAUCUUGCCCAUGCAGCUGAAUGCUCAUCUCUGGAUCUUAUUUCCAGUCCUCAGGAGGACAGGUUUUGAUGACCUAGUCUGAUUACAGCAUCUUUGACAGCUUUAAAGGAAUUUGCUCGAGGGAAGGCGACAGCUGCUGCUCUGAUGAAGGAUUUUUCUGAGCAGGCCUCCCAAGCAAGACAUGUCAGGAUGAGAUGCUGCCUACACUUUUCAUCACGACCAACAGGUUGUUAAACUGCAAUCAAAAGCACUUAGUAGGAAUGAAUCUGUCUCUAUUAUGAGAUUUGAACUCCUGACAUCUUUAUCCACUGGAACAUGAGUGCCCAGGUAACUACAAAUUAUUCAAGCAUUUACAACCAUUACUAUCAAUAUAAUUAACACAUUGUGGAAAAAGCAGUGAAAACAGUACUAUUAAAUGAUCAUUUCUAA